GUAGCGCAAUGGGUAGCGCGUUGGACUUCUAAUCCAUAGAUUGUGGGUUCGAAUUCCAUUUAAUUUCU